rnacentral:rRNA from 1 species
GAGACUCUGUGCGCGUGCAUAUCAAUAAGCGGAGGAAAAGAAACUAACAAGGAUUCCCCUAGUAACGGCGAGUGAAGCGGGAAGAGCUCAAAUUUGAAAUCUUAAAGGGUUUCCCUUUACGAAUUGUAGCUUAAAGAAGUGUUUUCUGUUGGAGUUUCGGUAAAAGUUCUUUGGAAUAGGACAUCAUAGAGGGUGAGAAUCCCGUAUUUGACCGUUACUUUCCAGCUGUGUGAUACACUUUCAAAGAGUCGGAUUGUUUGGGAAUGCAGUCCAAGAUGGGUGGUAAAUUUCAUCUAAAGCUAAAUAUUGGCGAGAGACCGAUAGCGAACAAGUACCGUGAGGGAAAGAUGAAAAGAACUUUGAAAAGAGAGUUAAACAGUACGUGAAAUUGUCAAAAGGGAAGCGUUUGACACCAGUGUUGUUUAGUUGAAAAUCAAUUCAAUAGUUUUUGAUUCUAAGUAGUAUUGACUUCAUCAGCUUGCUGCUUUCUUCUCAGAAAUUAUUGAAUGCACUUUUCAGUUAACAAGUCAACAUCAAUUUCUUUUGUUGUAAAAGGGUAAGAGGAAGGUGGCUUGCGCUUCGGCUCAAGUGUUUAUAGCCUUUUAUCUCUGCUAAUCGGAGAGAUUGAGGUACAUGCAGCGUAGACUCUUCGGGGUUAGAUACACUUGUGCUAAGCUAUAGCCUUGUAUAGACAACUUGUUGACUAUGCUCAGUCAUGUAGCUUACUCGCUGAUGCUAUUUUACCUACGCUUAGGAUGUUGACAGCAGUAUAGACUGU